rnacentral:rRNA from 1 species
AAUAGAUACCCGGGUAGUCCACGCCGUAAACGAUGGAUACUAGCUGUUGGAGGUAUCGACCCCUUCAGUAGCGAAGCUAACGCGUUAAGUAUCCCGCCUGUGGAGUACGGUCGCAAGACUAAAACAUAAAGGAAUUGACGGGGACCCGCACAAGCGGUGGAUCGUGUUCUUUAAUUCGAUGCUAAACGAAGAACCUUACCAGGGUUUGACAUCCCUUGAAUUAAUCCGAAAGGAUUGAGUGCUUUAUUGAACAAGGUGACAGGUGAUGCAUGGCCGUCGUCAGCUCGUGUCGUGAGAUGUUUGGUUAAGUCCAUCAACGAGCGCAACCCUUGCAAGUAGUUGUAUUUUUCUACUUGGACUGCCCCGGUAACGGGGAGGAAGGAGGGGAUGAUGGUCAGGUCAGUAUUUCCCUUACAUCCUGGGCUAGAAACACGAUACAAUGGCUAGUACAAUGCGCAGCGAAGCCGCGAGGUGAAGCAAAUCGCAUCAAAGCUAGUCCCAGUUCGGAUUGGAGGCUGAAACUCGCCUCCAUGAAGUCGG